CGUGGCAUGUCUAUUGACUUCCACCCAGGUCACAUUCUCUUAUUUAAGCCUUCAGGUCAUUGUCCACUCCUGUUCCCUUCUGCCGGCAUCUCGUCUCAAGCCCUCCCCUCUCCAUUGUGGAAGAGCUCUUACGGACACCAUACUUGGUUGAGGAGCAGCAGCAGAGUAUGCAAAGGGCGAGGAGACCAGAUCAUUCCUUGGCAGUUCUCUGAGCACAAGUGCCAGGAAAAGGGCCACAGAGCCCAGAAUCGGAACCAACAAUGAGAUCCCACGUAUCCAACUACAGUGAACAAGAAGGGCAGAGUGCCAGCCUGACCAAGAGGGACUGCUGGGCUGUCAUUUCAAUGCUGGAACUGGCUGGUAGCUCCUGUCAAUCUUGAGGGAGGGAAUUCCUGCUGACCAAGCUCCUGUCAAUCUUGAGGGAGGGAAUUCCUGCUGACCACAGGGGCUUCCAGCUCUCACAUGAUAUGGAAGGAUGUGUUUGACAGUGUGCCAAGGAAGACAGAAAGUUUGUCCAAUAGGCUGAAGUCGGGGCAUGACCCAGUGGGUGUUUACAGUAUGUGUGCCUCUUUGAUGUCCUUUGGCAACAUUUCCCUUCUGAUUUCUCUCAGAUCUCUGGCCUAAUGUUGCAUAAGUGAACUAGGGGUGCAGUAAAGGGAGCCAGGAGGCACACAGUCACUACCAUGUUGUCAUCUGGCCUGGGACAGCAGGCUGGAGUGUUUCUGAUGUCCUAUGGUGGGAGGCAGGGCAGGGGGGAUGCUGGAAUGCACCAUCUAGAGCGGCUCCUUGCCUACUCCACUGUUAGGGCCACAAGCCCCUUAAAUGCCUCUGUGUGAAUUAAAAAACACACCUCUCUGUGUGUGGACACAGCUCUUUUCGGCUUGACAACAGAAGGAGCAGAGUUCAGUUCUAACUCUUCGGUGGGUAACCUGUACAUCUGUACCCAGUGGCUGCCUUCCCCAUUUCCCCUCCCACCCAAAUAAUGGAUGUAGGGUUGAACACAGAAGAGGAGCAGCAAAAAAAGAGAAUGAAUAGGAGGGUCACAGAAUCUUCCAGUCUCGGAAAUCAGCCAUUGAAGAGACAAAAGCCACACGAAGCCAGUGUCUAAUAUUAAAGCUGAAGUCUUGGCUCCCGGGGACCUUUCUCAGUGUUGCAAGACACAGGCAAGGAAGAAGACGUUCCAGGAGUGAUUCCCCAAUGCCAUCUUCCUUCACAUUCCAUUAAAUGCAUUUAUUCUCUA